AGUGAACGCUGGCGGUAGGCCUAACACAUGCAAGUCGAACGGCAGCACAGUAAGAGCUUGCUCUUACGGGUGGCGAGUGGCGGACGGGUGAGGAAUACAUCGGAAUCUACUUUUUCGUGGGGGAUAACGUAGGGAAACUUACGCUAAUACUGCAUACGACCUACGGGUGAAAGCAGGGGAUCUUCGGACCUUGCGCGAUUGAAUGAGCCGAUGUCGGAUUAGCUAGUUGGCGGGGUAAAGGCCCACCAAGGCGACGAUCCGUAGCUGGUCUGAGAGGAUGAUCAGCCACACUGGAACUGAGACACGGUCCAGACUCCUACGGGAGGCAGCAGUGGGGAAUAUUGGACAAUGGGCGCAAGCCUGAUCCAGCCAUACCGCGUGGGUGAAGAAGGCCUUCGGGUUGUAAAGCCCUUUUGUUGAGAAAGAAAAGCAGCAGGUUAAUACCCCGCUGUUCUGACGGUACCCAAAGAAUAAGCACCGGCUAACUUCGUG
rnacentral:rRNA from 1 species